rnacentral:sRNA from 1 species
UAGUAACAACAAUACGACUAUACUACGACUACUACAGUGUUGAAAACCCUAAAUCGAAUCAUUUCUCAUUCCUAACACUUAGCCAAAUUUUUCUUCGAUCUCGAACUCUCUUCUUCGUCUUCUUCCUCUCAAACCCUAAAGAUCUUCGAUCUGUUUAUCUUCUUCUUCGAUCUUCUUUAAACUUCUUCUAUCUUCUUCCAUCUUCUCCAUCUCUUGAUCUCUCUAUCUCUCUCACUUGUCUCGAUCUCUCUAUCUCUCAAUCUCUCGAUCUCUCGAUCUUCUUCUUCUUUGAUCUCUAUAAAUCUUCUUCAUCUCUUCAAUCUGCAUAUCUUAUCU